GACGAACGCUGGCGGCGUGCCUAAUACAUGCAAGUUGAGCGAUGAAGAUUGUUGCUUGCACCAAUUUGAAGAGCAGCGAACGGGUGAGUAACGCGUGGUGAAUCUGCCUUUGAGCUGUGGACAACAUUUGGAAACGAAUGCUAAUACCGCAUAACAACUUUAAACAUAAGUUUUAAGUUUGAAAGAUGCAAUUGCAUCACUCAAAGAUGAUCCUGCGUUGUAUUAGCUAGUUGGUGAGGUAAAGGCUCACCAAGGCGAUGAUACAUAGCCGACCUGAGAGGGUGGUCGGCCACAUUGGGACUGAGACACGGCACAAACUCCAACGGGAGGCAGCAGUAGGGAGGCUUAGGCAAUGGACGAAAGUCAGACCGAACAAAGCCGCGUGAGGGAAGAAGGUGUUCGGAUCGUAAAACUAUGUUGGUAGAGAAGAGCGGUGGGGAGAGUGGGAAGCUCAUCAAGUGAAGGUAAGUACCCAGAGAGGGACGGCUAACUAAGUG
rnacentral:rRNA from 1 species